rnacentral:rRNA from 1 species
UGGGGAAUAUUGCGCAAUGGGCGAAAGCCUGACGCAGCGACGCCGCGUGAGGGAUGAAGGUUUUCGGAUCGUAAACCUCUGUCAGAAGGGAAGAAACCGCACUGUGCUAAUCAGCAGUGCCUUGACGGUACCUUCAAAGGAAGCACCGGCUAACUCCGUGCCAGCAGCCGCGGUAAUACGGAGGGUGCAAGCGUUAAUCGGAAUUACUGGGCGUAAAGCGCACGUAGGCUGCUUUAUAAGUCAGGGGUGAAAUCCCACGGCUCAACCGUGGAACUGCCUUUGAUACUGCUUAGCUUGAAUCCGGGAGAGGGUGGCGGAAUUCCAGGUGUAGGAGUGAAAUCCGUAGAUAUCUGGAGGAACAUCAGUGGCGAAGGCGGCCACCUGGACCGGUAUUGACGCUGAGGUGCGAAAGCGUGGGGAGCAAACAGG